CUUCUUCUCUCCGAAUCUCUCUCUCUCAACAGACAUCUCUCUCUUGACGGACAACACCAUUCAAACAAGGUGGCUUUCCAGCUUGUUGCCGUCGCAUGUCCAGGUUCGUUGAACUUAUUCAAUUCCAUAAACCUCGAUUCCUUCUCCUUCUCCUACCCAACCAAACCCUCUCAUCGUUCGUCUUCAGAUCAGCCAUAGAGGAUGAGAAAACUUGAAGAAACCUCUUCCGUCGUCAUGAAUCUGUAAUGGUAACGACUAAGCUUGACGACUGCAUUAUCAAGAAUCUGAAGGUGAAAUCAAGUUAUCAACGAGAGGGAGGCGACAUUGUUGCUAAAUAAAAGUGGAGCAUUGGGAGUGGAAG